rnacentral:lncRNA from 10 species
AAAGCAUGCUGACCCCCGAUAUAGGAGGUCAGGGGAAAUUAGAGGAACGGUGGACUUGAAGAGAUUAAGAGAGAUGAGAUUCAGGGUACAAGUGGAAGCACUGGCCUUAACUACAAGCAAGGACACCUCCCCUCUGUAACUGGAGAAGGCAGCUUCCUGGCCCAGAGUACUGCAGAGGGCAGCAUGAGGGUACUGAAUGCCUGAAGAUCCCAGCGGGAAAAAAGGCAAGACAAACCAUCCACUGAAAACCCUUUGCUGGAGCUGGACUUGCAUUUCAGAAUCAACAUCUAAAACUGAUUUUCAUGAGAAA